rnacentral:lncRNA from 1 species
GGGGCGGAUCCAGGAUUUUGGAAAGGGGGGGCGAAGAUUAUAAAUUUCGCCGAGCGGAGCGAGGCGAAAAUUUUUUGAGACCUUUUUUGAGCUAAAAGACAUAAAAAUAAGUGUAAUAUGCACUAUUUAAACGGUUCCUGGCGUGGGGCAUGUAUAUUUCAUAGUCGCUGUAAAGUGUAAGGGUUGGACAUUUUUCAUGCUGUUUUCUCCCUAUUUUAAAAUUGUCUAUCAUAAAAUGAUAGUAUUGAUCUAAAGCUAUGUACUGAUAUAUUUGAUGUAGAACUUGUCAGUAAAAAAUAGACAUGGAAAUUCGUUGAAAUUUACAAUACGACCGACACGAGUUAAAAAAGACAAAAAAGCAGUUUUUAUCAAAAUAUGUGACUAAUUAUGUUUCACCCAACAUAACUAAGGGAACCGAAGUGAGGGGUUCCAAAUCCACCAAAGACUACGAAAGUGUCUGAAAUGACAACAAAGUUAUGAAUGACGGUCGACAAAUGGAGACAUAAAGGUCACAUCCAGCAGGCAGGUUACAGUCUGGUCUUUAAAAAAA